ACGACUACACUCCUACGGGAGGCAGCAGUGGGGAAUUUUGGACAAUGGGGGCAACCCUGAUCCAGCAAUGCCGCGUGAGUGAAGAAGGCCUUUUGGUUGUAAAGCACUUUAAGCGAGGAGGAGGCUACUUGGAUUAAUACUCUAGGAUAGUGGACGUUACUCGCAGAAUAAGCACCGGCUAACUCUGUGCCAGUAGCCGCGGUAAUACAGAGGGUGCGAGCGUUAAUCGGAUUUACUGGGCGUAAAGCGUGCGUAGGCGGCUUUUUAAGUCGGAUGUGAAAUCCCUGAGCUUAACUUAGGAAUUGCAUUCGAUACUGGGAAGAUAGAGUAUGGGAGAGGAUGGUAGAAUUCCAGGUGUAGCGGUGAAAUGCGUAGAGAUCUGGAGGAAUACCGAUGGCGAAGGCAGCCAUCUGGCCUAAUACUGACGCUGAGGUACGAAAGCAUGGGGAGCAAACAGGAUUAGAAACCCUUGUAGUCCACCAAUCC
rnacentral:rRNA from 1 species